GCAAGGCUGGAUAAGCUUAUCAAGUGCAGGCAAACUACAUCUUAGCUCUGAUCCUUUCAAGAAAUCCAUUUGGCGCCUUUAACAUUUCAUUUAGCAGAUUGAAUUUCGGACAUGUAUUUAUGGGGCUGGGUUUGCCCUUAACAGAGUAUUGCAUAAAUCCCAUUACAGUAUCCACUUUAGCGUGUUUGGGGUUUUCUAAGCCAGGGCUUUAUUUAAGUGGACAGCCCCAGAAUGAGCCGCUCUGGCUCAGAAACUCUCUCCUCUCCCUCUGGAUCCGAUCUUUGCAGAUUAUCUCCAUCAUCAUCAAUGUCAAGCGAUGUUUUAGGAGCAGUCCUUCUGGCACAGCCCAGAACGAGCCGCGUCUCAGCCUCGCUGACGGAGCCUCCUCACCCUCCAGUGACUUACAUACGGGGUUCCCAUCCAGGAAUCACCUCACCUCACAUCCCUCUUUCUUCUGGCCAUAG
rnacentral:lncRNA from 1 species